GUGGACUCCUACGGGAGGCAGCAGUGGGGAAUUUUGGACAAUGGGCGCAAGCCUGAUCCAGCCAUGCCGCGUGUCUGAAGAAGGCCUUCGGGUUGUAAAGUACUUUUGUCAGGGAAGAAAAGAACAGGGUUAAUACCUCUGUUUGAUGACGGUACCUGAAGAAUAAGCACCGGCUAACUACGUGCCAGCAGCCGCGGUAAUACGUAGGGUGCGAGCGUUAAUCGGAAUGAACGGGCGUAAAGCGAGCGCAGACGGUUACUUAAGCAGGGUGUGAAAUCCCCGGGCGCAACCUGGGAACUGCGUUCUGAACUGGGUGACUAGAGUGUGUCAGAGGGAGGUAGAAUUCCACGUGUAGCAGUGAAAUGCGUAGAGAUGUGGAGGAAUACCGAUGGCGAAGGCAGCCUCCUGGGAUAACACUGACGUUCAUGCUCGAAAGCGUGGGUAGCAAACAGGAUUAGAUACCCUGGUAGUCCGA
rnacentral:rRNA from 1 species